rnacentral:rRNA from 1 species
UAGGGAAUCUUCGGCAAUGGGGGGAACCCUGACCGAGCAACGCCGCGUGAGUGAAGAAGGUUUUCGGAUCGUAAAGCUCUGUUGUUAAGGAAGAACGAGUGUGAGAAUGGAAAGUUCAUACUGUGACGGUACUUAACCAGAAAGGGACGGCUAACUACGUGCCAGCAGCCGCGGUAAUACGUAGGUCCCGAGCGUUGUCCGGAUUUAUUGGGCGUAAAGCGAGCGCAGGCGGUUAGAUAAGUCUGAAGUUAAAGGCAGUGGCUCAACCAUUGUAGGCUUUGGAAACUGUUUAACUUGAGUGCAGAAGGGGAGAGUGGAAUUCCAUGUGUAGCGGUGAAAUGCGUAGAUAUAUGGAGGAACACCGGUGGCGAAAGCGGCUCUCCGGUCUGUAACUGACGCUGAGGCUCGAAAGCGUGGGGAGCGAACAGG